rnacentral:rRNA from 1 species
GACGAACGCUGGCGGCGUGCUUAACACAUGCAAGUCGUACGGUAAGGCCCUUUCGGGGGUACACGAGUGGCGAACGGGUGAGUAACACGUGAGUAACCUGCCCACAACUUUGGGAUAACGCUAGGAAACUGGUGCUAAUACUGGAUAUGUGCUCCUGCUGCAUGGUGGGGGUUGGAAAGCUCCGGCGGUUGUGGAUGGACUCGCGGCCUAUCAGCUUGUUGGUGGGGUAGUGGCCUACCAAGGCGGCGACGGGUAGCCGGCCUGAGAGGGAGACCGGCCACAUUGGGACUGAGAUACGGCCCAGACUCCUACGGGAGGCAGCAGUGGGGAAUAUUGCACAAUGGGCGCAAGCCUGAUGCAGCAACGCCGCGUGCGGGAUGACGGCCUUCGGGUUGUAAACCGCUUUCAGCAGGGACGAAGCUUUUUGUGACGGUACCUGCAGAAGAAGCACCGGCUAACUACGUG